rnacentral:lncRNA from 1 species
AAUGUUCUUCCUUCUGACUCAAUGGCCAUUAGUGGCAAUUCAACUGAAAUACUAUUAUAAUUUGGAGUGUUCUCAGCCUCAUUUAUGGUUUGUUUUUCCUCUUUUCUCUCGGAGCUUUCAGACGAUGUAAGAGAACUUUCUAAAGAACACAUAGUUCCUCUAUUUUGUUUCCUCUCACCGAAGUUUAAACUAAAACCUCUUGUUUCUGUCAGUUCUGAAAGUGGAGAACUAGGACAUGCAUUGUUGAUUAUUGAUAAUAACUGAGAAAGUUCAGCUUUAGCAUGUUCUACACCCGUUGUCGAAGAAGAAGAACUAUAUCCUGCAAGUGCUUCCUGUGCCUUCAUUAGUACUGAUUGUAAGUACUUUCCUUGAGCUUCAAUUCUAAACUGUAAAUGUUUCUGCACCUGAAAUCAUGUUUCAAACUGAUUAACAUGUUCUUGUUCAUCACUUGAAGUCUAGAUUGGAAUGAGUAUUGAUCAUAAUUUAUAAAUGUUACCUCAAUUUGUUCAUAAAGUUUCUUUUGUACUUCCAUUUGUACUUCAAGAGCCUCAGCAAUCUUCAAGCUUCUAGAAUACGCAAAACAUUUAAUCAAUAAAUACUUAAAACAUCAACAAAAGAUGCUCAAAUAUUUGCUCAAUAUCAAAUUAACUAUUACUCAGUAGUUUGGUUCUGGUUUCCAACACUGAUUUCUCUACUGCAUUGACCAUCACUGUUUUGGAUUUCUAUGUAAUCUGCACCAUGAAUCAAUAACUCAAGAUUAUGCCAAAUCAGAAAAAUACCAAUCAUUCUAUCACUGUUAUACAAUAACUCACCUUGUUUGUUGUCAGAACAGGUUUCUACCAGUUGGCUUUUGCCAAGUCUAUAUUUCUGUAAUAACCAGAAAAUCAAAUAAGCUCAAACUCUUAUAGUUUUUGGAUUCAGUGUAGGAAAAAGAUUAUGAUACCUGUAAAU